rnacentral:other from 1 species
AUUACAGACGAACUCUUCUGAGGUUGAAGU